UCCCAUAUGGUCUAGUGGUUAGGGUUCCAGGUUUUUCACCCAGGCGGCCUGGGUUCGACUCGUGGUAUGGGAA
rnacentral:tRNA from 1 species